UACGGGGGGGGCAAGCGUUGUUCGGAAUUACUGGGCGUAAAGGGCUCGUAGGCGGCCAACUAAGUCAUACGUGAAAUCCCUCGGCUUAACCGGGGAACUGCGUCUGAUACUGGAUGGCUUGAGUUCGGGAGAGGGAUGCGGAAUUCCAGGUGUAGAGGUGAAAUUCGUAGAUAUCAGGAGGAACAUCUGCGGCGAAGGCGGCUUCCUGGCCUAUUACUGACGUUCAGGUACGAAAGCGUGGGUAGCAAACAGG
rnacentral:rRNA from 1 species